UACGUAGGUGGCAAGCGUUGUCCGGAAUUAUUGGGCGUAAAGCGCGCGCAGGCGGUUCCUUAAGUCUGAUGUGAAAGCCCCCGGCUCAACCGGGGAAGGUCAUUGGAAACUGGGGAACUUGAGUGCAGAAGAGAAGAGCGGAAUUCCACGUGUAGCGGUGAAAUGCGUAGAGAUGUGGAGGAACACCAGUGGCGAAGGCGGCUCUUUGGUCUGUAACUGACGCUGAGGCGCGAAAGCGUGGGGAGCAAACAGG
rnacentral:rRNA from 1 species